rnacentral:rRNA from 1 species
AACGGAGGGGACGAGCGUUAUUCAUCCUUAUUGGGCGUAAAGGGUAUGUAGGUGAUGGAAUCUGUUUCUUUUGAAAGUUCAAGUUUAUCUCUUGAAGUAUAAAGAAACAAGGUUAAAUUCGAGAUUUUUUGAGGUUGGCGGAAUUACUAAAGUAGAAGUAAAAUCUUACGAUCGUAGUACGAACACCAAAAGCGAAAGCAGCUUUCCCAGAAAUCUGACACUGAGAUACGAAAGCAUGGGGAUCAAACAGG